AACAAUGGAUAAGUUUAGUCGACCUUAUCUGGCAUGUGUUUAAUAAAUUAAAAAUUAAAAAUAUACAGUGCGACGUUCCGGCCAUGGUAGACAUUGUACAUAUUUUAUCUUGUGCCGUUAAUUUUAUAUAAUCACGACUCGACUCUGUUGUAAUUUUUACCGUGCAAUUACAUAUUGCAUCGACUCGAUUAAUUUUUAAGUUACUGUUUCAUCAGGCGUUCAGGAGAAGCCAGAUAGUUGAUGAUUCGUAACGUUCAUCCUGAAUGUAAAAUUGUAUCUAAAACGAAUCUCACAGAUCAAGGACUUUAUCGGAUUCGAGUUUUGAACGACUCGUACAGCUAUUCAAUUAACCGUUUGUCCAAACGCAGAGAGAAGAGAGCAUCUUGAAAUACAUUGCAAACGAAAAGAUGAUCGAAAUCGAGCUCGAACAUUCCGAAUAUUUAGCACACGCAGCAUCGGGAGUUUUAGGAAAGCUAUCGCAAGCCUUUGGAUUCAAAUACAAAAUGCUACCAGUGUAUGCAGGUUCGGGCACAUUCGGCAGAAU